ensembl:lncRNA
UGAUAUCUAAGACAUGCUAGGAUUUAGUCAGACUAGCAGGAAGAGAAAGCAGGGGGCAGAUAAUAAAGAGCAGAAAUACAGAGCACACAUCCACAACACCUCUUAUCCAAAGGGCUUGCAUUACUGAGAACAUUCUGGCUGGGCUAAGCCUUAACUUGGGGCCAAUUAGAGUCAUCCAGGUUUCUGACUUGCACAUCAGGGAAGGCAGUAAGACAGGAACAGUCACACAAAGUGAAGACAGACCUGUGUGCUGGAUCUGCUGGAGACAUGAAGGAGGCCGCAGACAAAUCAGACUGGGCUGAGUGAGAGCUGCUAGCAGAGCCUCCACCCCAGCCCCUGGACCUGCAGCUGAACAAAGUUGGAGACAACUGAAAUCAGGAGAUCUGAUGGCAGGAAAAUAUAUCAUUGUUCGGCAACAGCAACCCAAGCACCUGAAGUCCUUCAGCCCUGUCAUAAGGCUCAGACAGAACCUCAAGGCCAGGAUGUCUUGUGAAGGAUGAUGGUGCCAACUACAAAAGAUCCAACAGCCCCUAGGACAUGGUGACCGUGACCAUCUGGUGGCCCAAGUCUUGUACAAGACAAAACAUCUUUUGGAAUCAUGCUCUUGGCCAGUGAAAACUUACCAGACUUUAGCCCAUCCCAGUGAAUGGAUUAAAAUUUGCUGUUCUCUUUGUUCUGCAAGCAGAAAAUAUCUCUCCAUUAGCACUGACUCCUUCAGCUUAAACUCCAACUCGGCCGAAGCCUCUACUGCACAGUGAAGUUCUGCCUGCACGGUGUGUGCUCACAUUUCACACAGUCUUGCUUGGGCUGUUCCCAUGCCAAAAGAUUCUGUUAUCCCGUAUCAUUCCUACCUUACCUCUUCACUACUUCUACCACUAUCCUGAGCAACCAAAUCACCAAAGAAUCUCCUGGCAGUGUCAAACUGGCUUCCUUACCCCUGUAAGUCAGAGGCUCUAGGAAGGAAAACAGAAAAUUCACCCUCUUCACUUCUGCCUUCAGCAACAGGCACUUCCAACUCUUCCCAGGCUAUAUGGAACUUCUUAUUUAAGACCUCCA